rnacentral:rRNA from 1 species
GACGUAGGGCGCGAGCGUUGUCCGGAUUUAUUGGGCGUAAAGAGCUCGUAGGCGGCUUGUCGCGUCGUCCGUGAAAACCUGCAGCUCAACUGCAGGCUUGCGGUCGAUACGGGCAGGCUAGAGUUCGGUAGGGGAGACUGGAAUUCCUGGUGUAGCGGUGAAAUGACGCAGAUAUCAGGAAGAACGACCCGUGGCGAAGGCGGUUCUCUGGGACGGUACUGACGCUGAGACGCGAAAGCGUGGGGAGCGAACAGG